rnacentral:rRNA from 1 species
UGGGGAAUAUUGCACAAUGGGCGCAAGCCUGAUGCAGCGACGCCGCGUGAGGGAUGACGGCCUUCGGGUUGUAAACCUCUGUUAGCAGGGAAGAAGAGAGAUUGACGGUACCUGCAGAGAAAGCGCCGGCUAACUACGUGCCAGCAGCCGCGGUAAUACGUAGGGCGCGAGCGUUGUCCGGAAUUAUUGGGCGUAAAGAGCUUGUAGGCGGUUUGUCGCGUCUGCUGUGAAAGGCCGGAGCUUAACUCCGUGUAUUGCAGUGGGUACGGGCAGACUAGAGUGCAGUAGGGGAGACUGGAAUUCCUGGUGUAGCGGUGGAAUGCGCAGAUAUCAGGAGGAACACCGAUGGCGAAGGCAGGUCUCUGGGCUGUAACUGACGCUGAGAAGCGAAAGCAUGGGGAGCGAACAGGAUUAGAUACCCUGGUA